GGUUGUAGCUCAGCGGUAGAAUGCCUGCCUAGUGCAUAUGGGGCGCUGGGUUCAAUCCUCAGCACCA
rnacentral:tRNA from 1 species